GCUGGGAGUUGUAGUUUUGCAACAGCUGGAGGCACCCUGGUUGGGAAACAAUGGUUUAUGGAGAGGACAGGAGCUUCUUCAGGGUCCUGUACAGUACACACAGUGUCCUAAAUGGAGCCGCCCUUACUUGGUGUCCAAAGGAGCAGGUAACCCUGGCACAGGUAAGGAGUAGUACAGAACAUGUAAUACCUCCCUGUACUGUAGGGGGCGCUACCAGACAGCCAGUCAGUGCAUACACUUCAGUAAUACAGGUAAAGAGUACAGAACAUGUAAUACCUCCCUGUACUGUAGGGGGCGCUACCAGACACCAGUCAGUGCAUACACUUCAGUAAUACAGGUAAAGAAUACAGAACAUGUAAUACCUCCCUGUACUGUAGGGGGCGCUACCAGACAUCAGUCAGUGCAUACACUUCAUUAAUACAGGUAAAGAGUACAGAACAUGUAAUACCUCCCUGUACUGUAGGGGGUGCUACCAGACACCAGUCAGUGCAUACACUUCAUUAAUACAGGUAAAGAAUACAGAACAUGUAAUACCUCCUUGUACUGUAGGGGGCGCUACCAGACAGCCAGUCAGUGCAUACACUUCAGUAAUACAGGUGAUUUGCCAGUAAAAUGCCCAUUCUGAUUGGUCAAUUCCUCCAGUUGUGACAGGUAUCACAGAUCUGGACUGUCCGUACAUUGUAUGUUGAGUCUGGUUUCAUGUUACGAUGGUCCAGAAAAGACCAUUGUAUGUUGAAACUAUUGUAUGUCGAGGCCAUUGUAAGUUGAGGGAUCACUGUAUACGGGCCUAAAGGCUUCAAGUCAUUGCCACCAGGACUUCUACCCCAGUGUAUCCUGGGAACAUGAAGGGAGAUUUAUCAAAACCUGUGCAAAGGAAAAUUUGCUGAGUUGCCCAUAGCAACCAAUCAGAUCGCCACUUUCAUUUUUCAAAAAUGAAAGUAGCGAUCUGAUUGGUUGCUAUGGGUAACUCAGCAACUUUUCCUCUGGACAGGUUUUGAUUAAAUCUCCCCCCAUGGUCACCAGCCUCCCCGACUGCACAAAGGAAUAGCCCAUACUAACCAGUCCGGUCAAUGGUUACACUUUCCCAUCAGCCCCCUGUCUGUAUUCUGACUGAUGACUGUGGACACCUAUUAUUUGCGCCAAACUUUAUCUGCUUCCCUCAGUUCCACUUUUGUUUUAUUGUUUUUAGGCGCAGUUUCUGCGGUCGCUGUCAUUGUGACUGGACAUUACUAGCGCACACGGGGCUCUGUCAAUCACUGCCAUACAAACACACGGUGGGUCCCACGAUGCAGGACCAGGCUCAGUUAUUACACUGCCACUUGCGAUCUUUCUAAAAAAAAAAAAAAAAAAAUUUUUCUUUAUUAAAUCUGAUUGGUUGUUUUUUUUGGAAUACGCAAAAAAGAUUAGGAUGACGAUUCCCGUCUUUUCCCACAAUCACAAAAUCCUGACUGCCCACAUUUUGUAGCUAAUCCUUCUGUAUUUGUAUCAUAACAUUGUGAAAAUGAAAAAUAAAUCCAGUGACCUCCUAAAAGUC